UACGUAGGGGGCAAGCGUUGUCCGGAUUUAUUGGGCGUAAAGAGCGUGUAGGCGGCCAUGUAGGUCCGUUGUGAAAACUCGAGGCUCAACCUCGAGACGCCGAUGGAAACCAUGUGGCUAGAGUCCGGAAGAGGAGAGUGGAAUUCCUGGUGUAGCGGUGAAAUGCGCAGAUAUCAGGAAGAACACCCGUGGCGAAGGCGGCUCGCUAGUACGGUACUGACGCUGAGACGCGAAAGCGUGGGGAGCGAACAGG
rnacentral:rRNA from 1 species